rnacentral:rRNA from 1 species
GACGAACGCUGGCGGCGUGCCUAAUACAUGCAAGUCGAACGCACAGUUUAUACCGUAGCUUGCUACACCAUAAACUGUGAGUUGCGAACGGGUGAGUAACGCGUAGGUAACCUGCCUGGUAGCGGGGGAUGACUAUUGGAAACGAUAGCUAAUACCGCAUAAUACUGAUUAUUGCAUGAUAAUUGAUUGAAAGAUGCUAUUGCAUCACUACCAGAUGGACCUGCGUUGUAUUAGCUAGUAGGUGAGGUAACGGCUCACCUAGGCGACGAUACAUAGCCGACCUGAGAGGGUGAUCGGCCACACUGGGACUGAGACACGGCCCAGACUCCUACGGGAGGCAGCAGUAGGGAAUCUUCGGCAAUGGACGAAAGUCUGACCGAGCAACGCCGCGUGAGUGAAGAAGGUUUUCGGAUCGUAAAGCUCUGUUGUAAGAGAAGAACGGGUGUGAGAGUGGAAAGUUCACACUGUGACGGUAUCUUACCAGAAAGGGACGGCUAACUACGUG